rnacentral:rRNA from 1 species
CAGUCGCCGCGGUAAUACGUAGGUGGCAAGCGUUGUCCGGAUUUAUUGGGCGUAAAGCGAGCGCAGGCGGUUUCUUAAGUCUGAUGUGAAAGCCCCCGGCUCAACCGGGGAGGGUUAUUGGAAACUGGGAAACUUGAGUGCAGAAGAGGAGAGUGGAAUUCCAUGUGUAGCGGUGAAAUGCGUAGAUAUAUGGAGGAACACCAGUGGCGAAGGCGGCUCUCUGGUCUGUAACUGACGCUGAGGCUCGAAAGCGUGGGGAGCAAACAGGAUUAGAUACCCCGGUAGUCCCUGUCUCUUAUAC